AGUGAACGCUGGCGGUAGGCCUAACACAUGCAAGUCGAACGGCAGCACAGAGGAGCUUGCUCCUUGGGUGGCGAGUGGCGGACGGGUGAGGAAUACAUCGGAAUCUACUCUGUCGUGGGGGAUAACGUAGGGAAACUUACGCUAAUACCGCAUACGACCUACGGGUGAAAGCAGGGGAUCUUCGGACCUUGCGCGAUUGAAUGAGCCGACGUCGGAUUAGCUAGUUGGCGGGGUAAAGGCCCACCAAGGCGACGAUCCGUAGCUGGUCUGAGAGGAUGAUCAGCCACACUGGAACUGAGACACGGUCCAGACUCCUACGGGAGGCAGCAGUGGGGAAUAUUGGACAAUGGGCGCAAGCCUGAUCCAGCCAUACCGCGUGGGUGAAGAAGGCCUUCGGGUUGUAAAGCCCUUUUGUUGAGAAAGAAAUCCAUCUGGUUAAUACCCGGGUGGGAUGACGGUACCCAAAGAAUAAGCACCGGCUAACUUCGUGCCAGCAGCCGCAGUAA
rnacentral:rRNA from 1 species